GGAGAUGUGGCUCAGUGGUAAGAGUGCCUGCCUAGCAAGCAAGAGGCCCUGAGUUCAAAUUCCAGUACCACCA
rnacentral:tRNA from 1 species